UCUCAACUGUUGAGAUAUAAGGUUACCUUUCUGUCUUUGUAACUUCCAGAUCUUCAUAAAAGGAAAUCGCAAAAUUAAAAUUUCAACCAUAAAGGUGAAAGAAUUGUGUAAAAUAAGCUCUGAAGUUUCCUUAAAAUCUAACAUUUUAUAUUGUAGAUGACCAGUAGGUUUUAGAUUAUUGCACUGGAUAUUAACAUUUUAAUUCUUCCAAUUUGUUGGAUACUUAGCCGAACAAUUUAUAUUGAAAAUAACAAGAGAUUUUAAAAUCAUGUAUAUCUGACUUACCCUUUGGCUUGGAGAAACAGACACAGGUCAAUUAUAGAUUAUUCAUUUGUUAUUUUAAUUAAAUUAUAUGGACUGUGGCUUGCUAAUGCUCAAGACAGAAAAUGAAAGUGUUUUCUGCCCUUUUCCCUACACUAAGGGAUUAUUGAGAUAAUGACCUAAUAGUCUGGGUUGUGUAUAUGUCAGAAAAACUUCAUUUUAUUAAUAAGUGAUACUACAGAUACUGCCCAUUUAUUAUAUUGAUAGCAGCUGUGGAUAUGAGAAGAGUGGACCUAUAUAUGUCCAUAUAUAGGUAUAACCAAUAUAUAUGUAUAACAUAUAUAUGUCCAUAUAUAUGUAUAACCAAACCACAGGUGUUUUUUUGGAAGUCAUAUUAUACAGGGAGUUGACAGAGGUGUGAGCUGGACUUUAAGAAGCUGCACAUAAGAUGCUAGUAUGAUCAAGCUGGAAUGGACUUAGACAAUUUGAAACAACUUUUCUCAGUUUUCAGAUGAGGAAACUGACGGGUACCAAGCUUAAAUGACUUGACGAAGCUCAUAGAAGAUUAGCAGGUAGUAGAAUAAUGACUGCUGACUCCUAAUUCAGUGGAUCUUCCCUGGCCACCGUUUUGUAUUGAGCUGCAAUGCUUCCUUGACUGUUCUCCAUGCCAGAUUCUUAUCAAUGAUCUUUCACCUAAGAAACAGCAAAGAUUCUGGCAAGCACACGAUCUAGAGAUACAUCUUAUUGCGAUUUUUCACAAAAAUCAAAAGAAGAAAGAAGGCUUAGCUGGUGUUUAAUUAUUGUUAUUUUUUUCAAUAGGGAAAUCUGUACACAAUGAUUUAUCUCCAGUGAUUUGCCAUUGAUCAAUUUUUUUCUCAUUUCAUUUUCUAUUUUUUUGUUUUUUGUUUUUCUUUAUUUUUUAUUUUUUUCUCCUUUUUCUUUUUUUAAAUUUUCUGUUUAUCACAAAUGAUCAUGUAAUUAUAUGUUAAUACUAUGUAACCCCAGUGUUUUCAACUGUUUGUGAUUCAAUGUUACCCAGUUUUCUUUUCUUAAUUUUAAAUAAAUUUGAAAAAUUAUCUUAGAGUGUUUUGAGCCUGUGUUGGUACAUUUAGUUCUAGUUCAUUGUGGUAAAUCCACUUCAGUUUCUAAGUUUCCACCCUUUAGUAAAGACAUAUUUCUAAAUUUGGUUUAUAUCCUCAGUUACAAAAGAUUCUAACUGCUAGUUUUGUGACAGCAAUCACACAUACCAUCAAGGGAUGGGGCAGGCAGUUUUGGAAUGUGCUGAUGCUAGCAUUUUUAUAAGCCUAUGGCUUUUAUAGUCUAAAUUGUUCUUAUUUCUAUUAAUGCUUCAAUUUUUGACAAACACACAACCAUAGAAACAAAUAAUAAAUUUGUUUUUUGGGAAUUAUCCAGGAUUCUUGGUUAAGUGGGGAAUUUAGGCUUUGACAGCAUAAAGGAUCACGGAUAAGUAUUUUUCACGGUGGCUCUAAUUAUAAUGCUGAGCAUGUGGCAGGCACAGAAAUAUUUACUCAUUGACUGAAUAUAGCACAUCGUAAUGUUGAUUUUUUUCCAACAUAAUUUUAGAGCUAGGCAUAUUGUAUUCUAUUACACUAGACUAUAUAUCAUUCUUAAAUAGAACCAGCCUUGCUAGAUAACACAUGUUGGAGGAGAGGCCCUUCUUCUUAGCCCUCAGUGUUUCCAUCUAUGGGGAAGAAGUUCCACCAUACUAACAUUACUAUCGUCUCUCCACCUGCUCACUCACUUCUCCCCAAGGGAGGGGUGUUCGAUAUGGUUUCUGAGCUUGGAAAGAAAACUCAGGCAUGUGUAACAUGGUUCCUUCAGUCCCAUGACCCACUGUCCACAAAUGGGCUGCUCACAGAGUGCAUGCCUUCACCCUUGUUCCUGGCCAUGCAGGAAAUUGUAUGAAACAGUCCUAGCUGAAGCCUGAGAUUUUCCUGCAUUGCCUAGUCCUGGUGGGUAUCUGUCUACUCCUGGAGUUUGGAUUGGAAAGUCCACAUGCCUGAAGGUAUAAACCUAUUCUACAAAGGGGUGUUUUCUAGAAUGAAGGUAAUAUUUUUAUCUUACAUUUGCAGAAAGAGACAGAACAAUGUUAUAGGUGAGUGCAUGGACAAUGACCUCAAACAGCUAAGAUUCAAACCCCUGCGUUGAAUGAUUGAAUUGAAAUGAUUCAAUGAGCUAAUGUACAUAAAGCAUCCAGAAUGUUGCCUGGCACAAGGUAAAUGCUCUACAAAUGUCUGAUAUUAAUGUUAGCCUUUUGUUUCCCCGUUCAGUUGGUUCAGAACGUAGACAUUAUGUACUGGCUCUGCCUCACACCUCAAUAACAGAGAUUUCUUAAAGAAUAACUUAUAAACUCUUUUCAACUUCAAAUCACUCCGUGAUUAGGCUUAUCUUAUACCUUACUAGUUCUUAGCACCAGAAUUAUUUUUCCAAUUGUAGAACUAAUCAUGUUUCUCUGAAAUUCUUAAUUCGUGCAGACCUCUCAGUGGGGCUUCAAACUCUCACAGUCAGACCUCAGCAUACGUUUCCAGCCUUGUCUUCCUUACACACUGUGCUUUGGCACGAGUCUACCAUUGCUCACGGUUCCUGAAUCACAUGCAGUCUUCACACCAUGCAGCUUUGCUCUUUCUGCUUUGAGGGCUUUCCCCCUGCUCUGCUUGAUAGAUCAGAGCCCACCCUUCAUGGCCCAGCUCACAGGCCUACUCCUUUGUGAAACCUUUUCUUCUUACUCCCCAUUCAUGGAGGCCUCAUCUGUUGUGAAAGCAAAAGAACAUCUCAUUGCUGCUGUAACCCUUACUCACUUGAAUUUUAUGAAAAUUACGUGAACUCUGAGCUUCUGAAGGUCUUGGCCAGAGGGUCAGGUUCUCUUUACUUUUGUAUACUCAUCUCACCCAGCCCCUAACACAGUGACUUGCUCUUCAAUGAUUACCCAAGUAUGAGUCCAUCAAGGAAUUCUAUCAGAGUCUUUUCCAAAAUACCAACCAAACACAUCUACCUCUUUCCAUCUCCAUCUGAUCACCAUUAUCUCUGACUGGGUCUACUGUGGAAGCCUCCUAAAUUUUCUCCCUGCCUCUGUGCUGGCCCUAAUUUGGGUUAUUCCCUAAAUGGCCAUUGGAAUAAUGGAGUUAAGAUAUAAACCAAAUUAGGUUACCUCCCCACAUAAUACUGAAACCUCAAUUUUGAUCUUUCUGCACCUGCCCCUCUUUCACAUCUCAUAUUUUAUAAUCCCCCAUCUGCACCCUCACUCACUGAACUCUACUGACACUUCUCUCCUUUUCUCCUUUUGGUUUCUCAGACAGCCCAAACUUUUCUCAACCUCAGUCUCCUGCACACUCUUUUCCUUCUCCAUGAAAUGCUUAAGUCUUAACUUUUUUUUUUUUUUUUGACAGGGUCUUGCUCUGUCUCCCAGGCUGGAGUGCAAUGGCAUGAUCAAAGUUCACUGCAGCCUUGACCUCCUGGGUUCAACCAAUCCUCCUUCCUCAGCCUCUCACGUUGGUGGGACCACAGGCAUGCACCACCAUGCCCAGCUAAUUUUAAUUAUUUUUUUUUAGAGACAGGGUGUCACCAUCUUGCCCAGGUUUGUCUAGAAUUUCUGUGCUAAAGUGAUCUUCUCACCUUGGCCUCCCAAAGUGCUGGGAUUACAGGCCAUGAGCCAUGAUCUAGGCCAUGACUAGAUAUUGUUGUCCUUUAAGUUUCAGAUUACAAACCUCCUCCUAAGACACCCCGGCCCUCAGUCUAAGUUGAACACCCCCUCUGCGUAAUUCAUUAUACUGUGUAGUUGUAACCCUCAGAGCCUCAUUGUUUUUUUCACUGCAUUCAUAAGGAUUGGUAACAAUCUUUCUUCAGUGUGGGUUUUCCAAUGGUAUUAUCUGUUUUCUCCACUAGGCUAAAACUCCAUGAUGGCAGGAAUGAAGCCCAUCUUGUUAUCACUGUGUCCUGAGAAAUGAGCACAAACAGGAUGCAUGAGAGAACUGUGCUCAGUAAAAAACAGUUCACAGAUAGACUCUGAGGUCUUAAAAAUUCUCCAAGCAGAAACAGGACCCAGAGAGUACCUGGUUAAAGUCCUUCAUUUUACAAAGGGGAAAAUCAAGAUCCAGGACUUGUAAUGAGUUCUCCUAAUGCCCCAAGUCAGUGUCUGCCCAAAGGUCUCUGGUUUUUAGGGUAUCCUUCAUUAUCAAGUUCUCUUGCUUUAGGCUUCUGGAAACUAGCCAAUAACUGUAGAUUAUUAAUAAAGUAAUAUAACAGGAAAAUCAAAUGCUUCCUACACAACCUUUCACUGAGAAAUGAAAGCAAAGCCUAAGGAAAUGCCAUCUGACUAAUUUCUAACCAAUGCAAAUCUUCUCUCUUAGUCACCCCUAACAAAAAUGUCAAUGUUCUAUAAGCACAGUGAGAGGUGCCAAGGCCCAAGGCAGCUUUUUAGAUCUGCUCUGCCUCACAGAAGGGUCUAGGAUCUACUGCACAGUGGAGUGGCUCAGAGUUGCACUUGUUUAUUGGGCAAAUAGAGAAAAUCCAGAACCUUCAACAAACACCCUCUUUCUUCUAUGCCGUGGAGGGUUUUCUACCAUUAUCUGUGGCAUAUUUGUUAAUUGGUUGCCUUUAUUCAUGUUCCUGCUUCUUUUCCUCUUCAAGCCUCAAUGUUGUCAUCUCUAAAAUAGAGUGAUUGAUAUUGGCAGUCUUUUUAGCCUUGGCAUUCUUUGACCAGGAUUCUCCAAACAGAAACAAGAUCUAGAGAGUACCUGGUCCUGUUUCUGCUGUACAGUUAGUUCUCAACUUCAAAGGAUAAAUAUGAUUUGCUGAGCACAUUACUUAGGAUCUACCAUGCAUGGGAAAUUAGAUAAUCAUUUCAGCUCCUAAUUGCAUCCUCUAUUGUCCUGAGCAAGUAUAAGAUGCUGGUGAAUCCUGGAGCUAACACUUAGGUUUUCUGUUCCUUAGGACUGUAUUGUCUGCUAGACCAUUUAUUCAAAGUGGGAGGAUGAUGUUCUAAAAGCCAAUGAUAAAGCUCAUGGCAAUGCAGGGUAUAUCUGAUGGCAUGGAAUGCUUUAGGAUGGCCAAGAUUGCCCAUCAAAUGCCAAGUCACCGAAGGUACUCAUUUAUUCUAAAAAUAUCCACUAAGCAACCCUUUCUAAUAUGUGUUGUUCUAGGUUCUGGGAAAUAAGAAAUCAUUAGAAAAAGAUUUCUGCCUUCUAGAAGUACACAGUCUAAUGGUGAGAUAGGCAGGUAAGCUAUUACAACACAGUGAGAUAUGCACACGAGUAAAGCUGUUUUUCUUUGGUGUGCUCACAGUAAAGGGUAUAACUAACUCCAUCUGUGGGCUUCAGAAAGGGCUUCCCAGAGGAGGAUAUUUGAACUAGCUCUUGAAGGAUGAGAAAGAGUUUGCUUCAUAGAGAUAAAGGAGAGGAUAACAGCAGGUAGCAAAGCAGCAGUACACAAAGGUACUGAGUCCAGGCCUGGUCUCCUUUGGAAAUGGAGGAGGAGUAUAAGAGAAUUUUGUGGUAACAUCAGUAAGGAAAAAGAUGAAGGAGGGAGAGUAGAAAUGAGGCUGGAUGGGCGGUUUUGGAGGCCAACUGAGGAGGGUCUUACAUGCUAUGUUAACAGGCCUAGACUUCAUUCUAUAUGCAAACAGGGAGAUCCGGACUAAUGAGGGGUAUGUGUGUGUCCUUGUAUGUGCAUGUGCACGAAGGUGACAUAAUCAGGUAUGACUUUUAGAUGAUACUUGGUGACAAAGGAAGGGUGGAGAAUGUAAACUAGAGAAGCCUGGGAUAAUAUGGCUGCUUGGGAAUGGUGAGAAUUCUGGCAGCUGCAUUGCUGAUGAGUAAAGUGGAGGGAAGCUUUGGAAAAGUGUUUAGGGCCAAUCAGUAGAAGGUCAUACAUUCAUACUAAAGGGUUUGUUUCAAUAAGUAUAGCUAAAGAAUCCCACUCAUAGCUUUUUUUCCUGUGGUUUACAUGACAGUUAUUAAUGGCUCUCCUACUAGGAGCCUGACAUCAUGGUGAGCAUCGAGAAAGGAAUAACCUAAGCUGAAGACACGCCUUUUCAGGAGGCCAAGUUCCACGUUCUGUGCAUGCUUUUGGCGAAAGUCAGGUAAAGCCUCCAGAAAUGCAUGGUCUAUUCUCUCGGACCAUAUGGCUGUGGGCAAACUCUGGCUUCUUGGAGCCUCCAUUAGCCACCUAGGGAAAGGUAAUUGGCUUUAUGUUUGGCUCCAUCACUGCUGGCGACAAGCUCCACUGCAUUCUCAAGCAGUAGAUGAAAUACAACUGUGCUCCUGAAUGCAGCAAAGGAAAGAGAACCCAACUGGACCAGUGUGAAAUUGGGACCUUUGGAGGCAAGAAUGCACAUAUUUAUAAAUGAAUAAACAUAAUUUUUCUCUCUUCUUCCCAUUGGCAGCAUAUCUGAAGGCCCUGACUCAACAGUAGUGGGUCUUAAUGCUUGUGCUUGUCCACCCUUCUCGGCAGUGAUUGAUUUCAUUGUUGGCUUGUUUUCAUGACUUGAAUGUGCGAUCUUCAGAGGGCCUAAUUCCUUGCAAGUUCCAUUUGAGGGUGGAAGAGCUAGAACAAGCUAUAACCAGUAGACAACUCCGUGACUCAGGAGCUUAAGCAUGUGACUAAUUAGUAAGAAAAAAUGUGGUGAAGAUUUGUAGUUAAUAAGAAGGAAAGAAGAAUCACUGGGGCUAGAAUUAUGCAAGCUUUUGUUUCCUUUUGGGACUAUAUCAGAACUAUGAGAGAAGAAAGGCUACCUUUUACCUUUGAGGAAUUUUCAAAGCCUUUUUUUUUUUUUUUGGUUGGUUUGUGACUGACAAAGGGCACAAUUUCAACACCUCAGAAAAAUGCCUCAUCAUUUCCUCUUGUGAAAUCUGGGUGCUUCUGAAUGAAUCCAUGUUAGGAAUGUGUACUUCCAUCCAUUAAAGUCAAUGUCCAGUCUCAUUUUGGGCCAGAGGCUGUUACUAAGUUGUAGUACUGGUGAGAAAAGGACAGAGCAUUUACCUUCCCUGGGUAUCCUGUGACCUACAUGUGUCCUUGCAAGGCAGGGAAAUGUUACUAAUUAAGAGCAUAGCCUUUCGUCAGAUGGGUUCAGAUCCUAACACAUCCUCUUUCUGGUUACAGGACAGUCCUCUCUGAGCCUCAGUUUUCUCAUCUCUAAGAUGAGGCUAAUUAUACCUACUUCCCAGGGGGGUACUAAGGAUAAAGUAACAACACAAGAAAAUUUUUUAUCCUUGAUUUUCUUAGCUGGAAAAUUAGGCUAGAAAGACCUCCAUCCUUGGGGUAUUUAAAAUAAAAGGACAAACAUAUGAUGAGUCUAAGUGAUCAAUACAUUGUGGCUUUUGUACUUACUAUUCUGAAACAUGGGUGUGGCCUAGAUACUUUCCAAAAUUCUGCCCUCUCCACCUAGCAAAAUGACAACCAGACUUACAGAUAUGCCAACAAGCUAGUGUUUAAUAAUGGUGUUUGAUGAUAAAUGGCAUUUCUUUUCGACAUUUGUCUCUUUUUAAAACUUGGUGCUCUUAAAUGCAUCAUUGGAUAAGUGAUGACUGUUCCCAUUCGCAAGAAGAGACCUGGAAUCUAAGCAUGAAGGACCUGUCCUGAUGUUGAGAAGUGUGGAUCACAUUUAUUUGUAAACUUAGCUUCUUGCUCGUCUCAUGGUUGCUUUUUUUUCUUUUUCCUUUUUCUUUUUUUUUUUUUUUUUUUUUUUUUUUUUUUUGAGAGGGAGUCUCACUCUGUCACCCAGGCUGGAGUGCAGUGGUGUGAUCCCGGCUCACUGCAACCUCCACCUCCCGGUUUCAAGCAAUUCUCCUGCUUCAGCCUCCCCAGAAGCUGGGAUUACAGGCACGUGCCACCAUACCCGGCUAACUUUUUUUUUUUUUUUUUUUUUUUUUUGGGAUUUUUAGUAGAGAUGGGGUUUUGCCAUAUUGGUCAGGCUGGUCUCGAACUCCUGACUUCGUGGUCCGCCCACCCGCCUCAGCUUCCCAAAGUAUUAGGAUUACUGGCGUGAGCUACCGCGCCUGGCCUUAUGGUUUUUCUCAUUUUUUCUUCCCUUCCUCCCUCGAUUCCUUUGUUCCUUUUACUCUACCAUGCCUACUGUAAAGAAUAAACAAUAGAUUGGAUCUACUCUCAAGAUGCAGGAUAGAGAAAACCAUCAUUUAUUAAAUGGCAUCUACACCGCAGGCUUUGUACCAGGCACACACUCCACUGUUCCCAGUUAUCCCUUACUGCACCCCUAGAGGUAUAUGUUUUCCCAGAAAAGAUAAACAAGUUGCCCAAAGUCACAUAUCACAUAGCUAGCAAGCGAACAUGGGGCUGAAAUAAAACACUGCCCAAUUCCAAAAUCCAUAUACUUGUUUCUUCAUGUUUCCCUAUGAAAAUGGCAAAGGUGAGGAGUGUGUGGUGUGUGUGCGUGUGCGCGUGCAUGUGCGUGUGUGUUUGCACAUGGAAAAUUCCAAAUAUCACAACUUCUCUAUAGACACUAGACUCAUUCUUUGGCUAUGGCUGUGUCCGUUAUCCCAAACUCUAUCUUUACCCCAGUUUUUACACUUGCAAAAGUAGAGAAACUUUAAGGUCCACCAGCUUUUACUAACCUCCCUCUUGCUCUGAUAGCUGUGUAAUAAUUUUUGUAUCCUUCCCAGUGGGUUCCCAGUCUUUUCAUCUGCUAGGACCAUCUGGUAACUCAUCACCAAACAUGGUGCCUGACAGCAUCACUGGUGCCCUGCAAAUGUCCACCUGAUAAAUGAGUGAAUUAAUGAAUGAAUAAGAAAAUGAAGGAUACUGGCUGCCCCUGGCCAACUAUAUCUUGGCUUUGGCUUGUCAUUCUAGAUUUGUGAUACUGGCUUCUAGCAGAAGCUUAAAGCCUCUUUUUUGUUCUUUUGUUCCUCUAAUGUACUCCCCCUGCCCCUCCACCAAGAUGGGAAGGAGGGCUGAUCUGAGCAUUCAGGUUUCAGAAUGCUAAUUGGAUAGCAGCCAAUUAGAAGUAGAUCCGUAAGGAUUUAAUUAGACUUUCUGGGUAGAUUUGGAUAUUGCUUUCAAAAUGAAAAGGCCCCAAAUCCAGGUUCCCCUGGAUUAUAAUAGUUUUAUGGCUCUGCCCUGCUUUAAUUUGAGGCUAGUUGGCAAUACCCUGUCCAGGAAAAAGGAAUCUUCCAUGUAGUCCUGUCUGUUCUACUGAGGUCUACAUUUGGGUUUUAGCAAACAAUUCAGCUAAUAUAUAUUAUUUUUCUUUGUUCUCAAGGAUUUAAUGGCAAGAUGCCAUUAUAGACAAGAACAGGAUUCAGACACUUUCGUGUUAUGUGUUCUUGUCCAAAUACUGUGUCACUCUGCACUGGCAUCCCAAUCCCACCAACACCUUUAGCAGGAACUUCCUGUUUCAAUAACAUUUCUCAAUACUCUACCUGAUUGCUUAGAAUCCAUGAGACAGCCAUAUUCUCCAUGUCUAGGUCCCUAUCUUAUUUUUGUUGAGAUGGUGUUAAGACUUUAUUUGUGAGGCUUCUGGGGAAGAGGAGUAAGGUAUUGAUCCCACUGACUGGAUAAUUUGGGUCUCAAAAUGGAUAAUAAAUAAGCAUUACAUAUUUUGACCACUUCCUUGGAGGAGAACUUCUUGGAAUGUGCACCAUGUCCGCUGCACUUUUUUUGCACAGAUAUCUAAGUUGGAGAAACAUACUACUAGAUAAAUCAAUUUGUUCUCUUAGUACUCAUGAUAUGGUUCCUGGGAACUUCUGAUUCACCAAAUUAAUCUUGGCCAGGUACAUACCUGGCAGGAAUCCAAAAAUUCCCCAAGUCUCCUUGAAGUUCAGGAUCAUCAUUCUUAAUAAAUACACCGAGGGAAAAACCAUGGAGAGUUUGUCCCAGAUGCUGUGAAUCUGGCCCGGGGUACAUGAAGAAGUCCUUAAUUGCAGUCAUUUACAUGGUAGAUUCUCUAUAAUCAUUUAAUUUGCUAUAGGUCUAUGAUUUUUAGUCCUUCUUCUCUAAAUGAUUGAACAUGUAUAAUUCCCAUUUCAAUCAUAUUACCUGGAUGAACAAAAGUAACGCUAGACUCAUUCAUGCAUUCUGGUUGCCAAGGAAAAGGAAAAAAAAAACAAAACAAUCAACAGGAUGUUUAAACUGUCUUAGGGCAACUUCAGGCCAUAGUCACUGGUGUUCUUGCAGACUAUGAGAUAUUUUACAUUCUGAUAAGGGAUAAAAAUUCGUGCCUCACAUGGCUCCCAUCACACUAAGAUCUUGCAACAAUAACACUACUGAUUCAGACAUUAAUCUUAAGUAUCCAGGGAGCCCUAAAACAUUGUAUCCCACUAGCAAGGACCAUGGUAAUUGCCACGUAAAUCCCCUCCAUUAUGUGGCCCUUAUUAUGACCAGCCAGCCAAGGCUUGCCUUUAAAUCAUACCAAUUGAACCGAGCCUUGUAGAAACACUAUCACCUACGCAUACCUCUGCUUCUUUUCAUUAACCUGCUAUCCUCUUUACAAAUGGGAUUCUUCACCCACUCCCUUCUUCUAGAUUAGCAAUGCCCUGUUAAGUAAACGAACACGAAAUUCAAAGGGAAACAGGAGCAAUCAUCAUUACCAGCUGCCGUGUUAAGCAUUGCGAAAACGCUCACGAUUCACAGAAAAAUCCAUGCUGUUCUUUGAAGGCAUUCAAGCCUUAAUAGCUAGCUGGAUGAAUGUUUAACUUCUAGGCCAGGCACUACUCUGUCCCAACAAUAAGCCCUGUACAUUGGGAAAGGUGCCGAGACAUGAACUUUGGUCUUCUCUGCAAUCCAUCUGGAGCAUUCACUGACAACAUCGACUUUGAAGUUGCACUGACCUGGCCAGCCCUGCCACUUACCAGCUCUGUAUGGCUAAGCGUUUUCUCCUAAAAUCCCUUGAAAACUGUGAGAAGACCAUAAGAAGAUCAUAUCUUUAAUUCUAUUUCACAAGUCACACAAUAUUCCAAUCAAAUACAGAUGGUUGAGAAAAGUCAUCCAUCUUCCCUCCCCACCCUCCCACAGCCCCUCAACCACUGCCCUGAAACUUAUAUGCUGUUAUCCGCAGCUCCAUCUGGAGCAUCACAGCUACUGUCAACCCUGACGCUCUUUCUGAAAAAACACCGGAUGGACAUCAGAACUAUUUCUUUAAGGAUGUUACUGAGCCACACAGGAAAACUUGCCUUAUGAUUUUGAAUGCACGGAUCUGAUUUGACUAAACAUGAUAACUAGAGAAUCACCCAAUCUACUCCCAUUUUCAACUCUAAAUCAUCAGAGUGUCUCAAAUCCAAAGCACACACAGACCAGCCUGGCCAACACGGUGAAACUCCACCCCUACUAAAAGUAUAAAAAUUAUCCAGGUGUGGUGGCGGGCGCCUGUAAUCCAAGCUACUUGGGAGUCUGGAGGCAGGAGAAUCCCUUGAACCUGGGAGAUGGAGGUUGCAGUGAGCAGAGAUCACACCACCGCACUCUAGCCUGGGCCACAAAUCAACAACAACAACAACAACAAAAAACAAAGCGCACACAGAGACUGAGGUCCUCUUUGGCAUUGAGAAGAUGGCUAUGCAAGUCCCAACUAGCAAGUGCAAACUUCCCAGCUUCACUUCUGCCAGUGUCCCUUCACCCCUUCUCAACCCCACUGGGAGGCAGGAGGGUGCUUGACAAUAACAGCCUUGGCAUCACUCUGCCAGGGUGUAAUAGGAACUGUUACAAUUCUGAGAUUCUGUGUAAGCACUGGCCUUUCUGCCUAGAAUGCCUUCUCCUCUCUUUUUUAACUGCAUGCUCCUAUUUAUCUUUCAAAGCCCGGAAAAAAUAACACUGCACACGGGAAAUGCUCCCUUCCUACUGCAGUCAUUUAGAUGACUCUAUGCCAUUCCAUUCAUUUCUCUUUCCUACCACAGAAGUGCUUUGAGAUUUUGGAGUCAGACUGCUUGAACUUGAAUCCUGGCCCUCUCAUCAGAGACUUGACUUAUUUUAGGCAAGUUAUAUAACCAAUUUUACCUCAGUUCCUUACCCAUAAAAUGGGUCUAAUGAGAGUACCUACCACACAGAAUUUUGAUGAAAACUGAAUGAGAUGAAGGCCUUUAAGGCAGUGGUCCCCAACCCUGGGGACACAGACAGGUACCAUUUUGUGGCCUGUUAGGAACUGGGCCACACAGCAGGAGGUGAGCAGUGGGUGAGUGAGAUCAGCGUUAUUUACAGCUGCUCCCCAUUGCUCACCUUACUGCCUGAGCUCCACCUCCUGUCAGAUCAGCAGUGGCAUUAAAUUCUCAUAGCAGCACAAACCCUGUCAUGAACUGCACAUGCGAGGGAUCUAGGUUGUGCGCUCCUUAUGAGAAUCUAAUGCCUAAUGACCUGUCACCGUCUCCCAUCACCCCUAGAUGGGAGUGUCUAGUUGCAGGAAACAAGCUCAGGGCUUCCACUGAUUCUACAUUAUGGUGAGUUGUAUAAUUAUUUCAUUAUAUAAUACAAUGUAAUAAUAAUAGAAACACAGUGCACAACAAAUGUAAUGUGCUUGAAUCAUCCCCAAACCAUCCCAGUCCACGGUCUUCCACAUUUUGUCUUUUCACAAAAUUGUCUUCCACAAAACUGGUCCCUGGUGCCAAAAAGGCUUGGGACCACUGCUUUAAAGCCUUUGCAUAGUGCUUAGAAUUGAGGGGGAAAAAAAAAACAAAAACAAUGUAGCUAGUUGCUACAAUCACUAUAUUGGUGAGUUUCAAAAGGAAAAGAAUUCUGUCCCAUUUAUGCUUGAGCCUUGAGUUGCUAACCAAGCCUGACACAAAAUUACUGUUGAAGGGAUGUGUGAGUCCUAAUUGAAAUGAGGCCUCUUAAGGGAAUUGUGGACCAAACCCCAAGCAGGCAGAAAGCCGUAUCUUAAUUAUUGCAAGUAUUUCAGGCAAGGUGUGGAUGGCCAUUUGAAUUCAAGCAGACUAGGACCUGGGAUGAGAAAGAAGGUGUGUACGUGACUUGAUCUUUGAACUUUAGCUCACCAUCUGGAAGAAGGCUGAGUAUUCUCUGCACUCACAUAGUAGCUAAUGCCUACUCCCCAGCCACCCACAAUUCUUUCUGUAGGAAGGCUCGCUAGAAUACUUUGUGAUAUUGGAUAUUAGUUCCAUAUUCUACUGUGUAUCUUAGUUCAACCAAAUUGUAAUCAUCUGAUAUUUAUUUCUUUUAAUAUAAAUAUAAGUAUAUUAAGUCUUGGCAUGCUUGCUCAGUCUCUCUCUCUCUCCCAUUCCUCCCCGCUCCCCUCUCUCUUUCCCAACAGGCUUGGAAAGCAGGCAUCACCAUGCCUAUUUAACAGUUGGGGUCCCUUGGCCACCAGGUGCUGGAGUAGGAAUCUGAGCCCGGACAUGCCUGAUCUGUAAAUUUUGUGUUUUCCCCACUGUGCUGGGCAGAUCACAGCUAUCAGCGCCAAAUUCAUAGAAGGGGCGCCCCCUGUGGUCAAUUGAGGGAUUUGUGUUUGAGGUAGAUCUCAAGAAGGAAUGGGUGGGGAACUUAGCCUAGGACAGAGCAGAAAGGAGCCCUCACUCCCCAAGCACCAACGGCCUCAGUCCUUCCUGCUGACUCCAGCCUCUAGCUCUCACCCAGACUAUCUGCAUCCUUCUCUCCACCACGCUCCUUUGGAACCUGCGUAAAACACAGAUUAAAGGAAUUCCGCCUUACUUCCCUUUCCGCAUUAUGACCAAAUGGUUUUACACUAUCAUUGAACAGUUUAGUACAAAACAUGCCACCUUUUAAUCUAUUCAUUCAUUUAACAAAUACUUUGGAGUGUUUACCAUGUGCCAAGUGCUGUUCUAAUAGACAUAAGCUGUGAGGUUAUGCUUAUCUGAUUCUCACAGCAACAGCUUUCGAGAUAUGAAUUGGUAUACUCAUUUGACAGAUGAGGAAAUUGAAUUCAUGUAGUGAGAAAGGAAGAGCUGCAAUUCAGGGUUACUGGUUUCUCCUGCACUAAGCACUGAGCCACACUAGAAGAGAAGGCAUGAGGAAGACAAAAGUGAGAAGGUACGAGAGAAGAUAUUAAGUAGAGGUCUAUUAGUUCCUCUUAAAACUAUUUAUGAAAGAGGCGGAUGGGGUAGUGGAUGGGAAAGACAGAUGGAUUCAUGUUCUUCACUCCAGGUUUCCCCCCAUUCCCUUCCCUUUUAAAUGCCUGCUCAUUUUUUGGCUACCUUUCAAGCUCUAGGAAAUACUCUGGAAUUCCAGGCUGGGAGGGGUUUCCUUUGCAGAUCUGGCUAUUGUAACUUUACAAGAAAUUGCUCAAUACUUCCUCUCACCAGUUACAAACCACGGUUUUCUGAAUGAACUUUAUGUUCAUUAAACAGUUAACCCUUCAGCUUUCUGACUCACAUUUUUCAUGUUAUUAAUCAGCUCUUAGAGUAAGGUAAAAUCUAGAACAGACUUUAUAUACACCCUCCCUCCCACACACAUAUACAUACAUAAUACAAACACAGACCACACAUGUCCACAUCCUUAUGCGCAAACACUAAGAAACACACGCAUACACAAACAUACAUGUACACAAAAUUAAAUACAUAGCUAUGGCACUUUCACUAUACAUGUAAACACCCUUACACACAUACAAAUGUACAUGCGCGUGUGCGCACACACAUAUGGAAUUAGCUUUUUCUCUUUGUGGGAGGAGGGAAAUGAAAAGACCCAAAACAUUCAGAUUCCCAAAUGGACACGUAAGAACCCCGUCAUGGAAAUAGGUCUGGGUUUUUUUCUCUUUUGAGGGAAGCAGGGCGUUUCUGGUUACUGUCGCCAUUGCCAUUGUGCCCCUGCUUACCAUCCCCCUGCACCGCCCCCCCGGCCCCCGCCCGCCACUGCUAGGGUUUACAGGUCAUCCCUGGAUUAAAUAAGUGAUAUUGUGUUUUUUUUUCUUUGACACAAAGUAAAAUUAUAAUUAAUAUUGAAUAAAGUAAAAAUGAACUCCUGAGUUCCAGUCCCUUAUGUAACACACCUGGUUUGUGGCAGGCACUCAGGAAAUAUUAGUUGCAUGAACGAAGGCUGCAUUUUCAUUAGAACAACAUGCAGUUCAACCCCUUCAUGUUUCAAUGAGGGUUCAGAUACCCAGAGGGCUAUGCUAUCAUCCUGGAGCCCACUCUGCUAACAAUUAGCAGAACGGAAGCCUUAAUUUCCAGAUUCUAGUGAACUUGAUGAGUCAAGACUAUUGCAAUUGGAAAUCUGUUCUCCUCUGCUGCUGCAUUCCCUGCUUAAUACUCAAGCCAGAAACCAGGAAGGCUGUGGCUUGCCUUUUCACUUCUUGUGUCCUGUUUAAGAAAUAUCUGCUAUCCCAAGCAUCUGGCAUCUUUCUUGACAUAUGUAGCAGUUGCUUUUUGACAGCUUGCUUCUUCAGUGAAUGAAUAAAUUAAUAAAGAGAAAUGUGAUGUUCAGUGAUCCAUUUUGCAGCAUUUAUUAAAUACUGGUGCAUAAUGAUGGAAUAAAUUUUAUACCGUAAGGAUAAACCAGUAUUCUGGACUAAGCCAACGUGGGAGACCCUAGGAGGCCUGUUUGAGAAAGUGACAUUUAAAUUGAGACUUGGCGGUGGCUGUGGCUACAUAUCUAAUUGCAAACUCCUAGAGAAGGGCUCAACAGUGAGUGCUGAGGCUGCACAGAGGAGGAAGGCAGCACAAUGAUGGAAGGCUUCCUAAAGAG
rnacentral:lncRNA from 1 species